UACGUAGGUGGCGAGCGUUGUCCGGAUUUACUGGGAGUAAAGAGCGCGCAGGCGGUCGUUCAAGUCGCGUGUGAAAGCCCCCGGCUCAACUGGGGAGAGUCACGCGAUACUGAUCGACUCGAAGGCGGGAGAGGGAAGCGGAAUUCCCGGUGUAGUGGUGAAAUGCGUAGAUAUCGGGAGGAACACCAGUGGCGAAGGCGGCUUCCUGGCCCGUUCUUGACGCUGAGGCGCGAAAGCUAGGGGAGCAAACGGG
rnacentral:rRNA from 1 species